rnacentral:rRNA from 1 species
GUCUUUUUGAAUUUUAUUUAAAGUCUAACCUGCCCAUUGAAAAUUUUAAAAGGCUGCGGUAUUUUGACCGUACAAAGGUAGCAUAAUCAUUAGUUUUUUAAUUGAAAACUAGAAUGAAUGGUUGAAUGAAAAAUUAACUUUUUUAAAAUAAAUAUAGAAUUUUACUUUUUUAUUAAAAGGUUAAGAUUAAAUUAAAAGACGAGAAGACCCUAUAGAGUUUUACAUUAAUUUAAUUAUAAUUUUGAGGAAUAAAAUUAUAAAUUUAAUUUAUUAUAAUUUAAAAAAUUUUGUUUUAUUGGGGUGAUAAUAAAAUUUAAUAAACUUUUAUUUUUUUUUUCAUUAAUUUAUGAUUUAAUUGAUCCAUUAUUAAUGAUUAUAAAUUUAAAUUACCUUAGGGAUAACAGCAUAAUUUUUUUUUAAGUUCAUAUUAUUAAAAAAGAUUGUGACCUCGAUGUUGGAUUAAGAUUUAAUUUUAGGUGCAGAAGUUUAAAAUUUAAGUCUGUUCGACUUUUAAUUUCUU